ensembl:lncRNA
AUGAGACACGGUCUUAGCCUACUAAUAGCUCACAACAGCAUUCAGUGUUCAAUUCAAGGAACGAAAGCUAUUCUGGAUAUUUAAAGAAGAAAGGAUUUUAAUAUGGGGAUUGGAUGCUUGAAAACCAUUUCAAGGACUGGAGGCAUGGGUUGUAGGCACCAGUGGUGACUUCCAGCUGCUACCUCUGCACCAUCAGGAAGGUGGAAAUCAGGAGGCCUCAAAUCGAAUAUGGAGUUCCAGAUUCUAGAAUCUGUAACAUAUCACAUACUCUCAAUCUAGGGACCAGAGAGCCAGAACUGGGAAGCCGUUAUUGCUUCACUGAAAACUGACUCUUGACAAUCAUAGAACUGUUGACUAGUUACUGGAAUAUGAUGCAGAAAAACUUCGUGUCUCCACAACUGUGCUUGCCAGCAGGAAACAUCUAAAACAGCAAGAUUUCCUUUGUUUCAUUUCUACUUUUCAAAUCUCAUACGUGUGCGUCCACUGGUGGGACUCAAUUUGCAUUCGGAACCCUAUCUACAGGGAAGUCUGGGAAAUAGAAGAUGAGAGUGGUUAUUGGGAGAAGAACCAACAGUGUCUUCCACAGACUCAGGAACAUACAUGGGCACUGAAGGGUUAGAGGGAGCAUGCUGCACAAAGUAAAUAGGUCACAAAUAAGGGAGAUCACUUCUCCCUGGGGUUCACGGAAAGUGGCAGAGAAGAGACUCCUCCUGCUGGGUCUUGAAGAAUAUCCUGUAGAAGUUUGCCUCAAAGGGGGCUGAAGGGCAUUUGGGGCAGAGUAAGCAUUAGGAGUUAAGGCAAGCGUGUGAAAAAGUGUAGUGCACCUAGAAUCAGCCUGUGCUUUCUUUGUCCGGAACAGGAGGGAGAAAGAGGAGGGCACUGAGCAAUGAGGUCCAAGAAGUGGCAGGGCCCAGAUCAAGGCACACCUCAUACGCCAUGCUCAAGAGCUCAGAUUUCUCCUAGAAGUGAUAGGGGGACCUUCGGAAGGUUUUACACGGGGGAAUGACAAGACGAGAUGGGUUUUAGAAAGGUCACUGUGGAGGCUGUGCGGAAGAAGCACUGGAAUGGGGAGCAACUGGAAGAAAGAGAGCAGUUGGGAAGAUAUUGCAAUAUGGUAGACUAGACGUGGCUGGUACCUAAACUAGGACUAUGGAUGUUGGGAUGGGCAAGAGAGGGCUUGGAGUAUACGUGGAAGUUGAAUCAAUAGGACUUGAUUGAGCUGAAGUGGUGGGGAGCAAUUAUUGCGUGUAUGCUAUGUGCCAGGCUCUAUUCUAUACUGCAUGUAUGAACUCAUUCAAUCCUUACAAAACCCUAUGCAGUAGGUCCUAUUAUCAAUCACAUCUGCAGAUGUGGAAACUGAAGCACAGCUGGUAAGUGGUGGAGCUAGGAUUUGAAUGGAAACAAACACUCAACCACUUUGCUAUGAAACACCUCUGCUCUUAGUGAUAAAAUUUGCUUUCCUGUCCUUUAUGAAUUUGCAUUUCACUGUGAAUUCUGGUUUGGACCCUGACUCAGGAGUUCUUUUAACCUAGACAUUCAUGGAUGAAUUUCUGCAGGUCUAAGGAACCCUGAAAUUGUAAUCAAGUUUGUAUGUUUUUCAGCAUUUGUGUAUUAUUUUUCUGGAAGGAAUGGCCAGACUUAUCAAAUGAGUUACCAGGGGUUCUCAAAUGGGUUUCUGACCUAAGAAUACAUUUAAGAACUCUGCCUUAGAGGAAUGGUUCUCAAGGUGUGAUCCCUGAACCAGUAGCAUAAGCAUCUCCUGGGAACUUGCUAAGAAGGCAUAUUCCUGGCCCCUUCCAAGACCUACUGAGCCAGAAACUCUGAGGGUGGGCCCGGAAAUCUGUGUUAAUAAGCCUUCCAGGUGCUUCUGAUGUGUGCCCACGUUUGGGAAGCACUGCCUCAGAGCAAACACAAGCAUGAGUGAUGUGGCAGCAGGGGCUAUUCGCUGACCUGGGUGGGGCAUUCACAGUGGAUGUGGUGUCAAGGAGGGUAGGGAAAAUCUCAGAAGCCCAAGGUCUUCUGUGAGUGCUCUCAGGAAGGACAGAUGCUUUGAACUGAGCAGUAUUUUGGACAGGGCAUUCACUAAGGGCUUCUGCAGUCCUCAGGACAGGCAUUUCUGGAAGGUGCUGGGGUCUCGACUUGCAGCUGAGAAGAUGCAACCUGUAGACUCAUGCACCAAUCCCACAAUGCCUCGAGGCCAGUCUCCCCCUCUGUCGUAGUUUCUCCUGGGGCUGCAUUUUAGAUAUCUUGUUUCAUCCAAGUACACAGACCUCUAAUGACUUUUCCACAGAGGAUAACCUGCCUGGGCUCCCAGGGCAGUUAGCAUCCACUGACACCCUGGCUGCUCCCCACGAGCUGCCAGGGCCUCUGGUCCACACCUCACCCAGUUGACACUGCAGCCGUGCAGCCUGUGCAGGAUUCAUGCCCACAAUGCCAGUCUCUUUCUACAUCUUCCUGGGAGCGUGAAAGGGAACGAACGACCUGCGGCGCUGAGUGAUGGGAUUGGUGGGGGUUCCUGUUCCCCACUCCCCUGCUGCCCUCCCUCCAGACACCCAGGCUCAGGUCCGUCUUUCUGCAAAGUCACAAAACUGGAAAGCUCUUGGGGUAGGGAGAGAGCAUGUGCCUGCUGGUUGGCUUGGAAAGGUUCUGGGAAUUCAUUAUGAUCUAAACAACUAUUCCAGUCAUUCCUGUGACUCAGCGCCUGCCAGCAGGAUCUUCCUGUGUGCACGGGGCCGGGGGUUGCUGACUCAGUGCUGAGGAGGGCACCUUGUCAGCGCUCCUGGGCUCCCAGCUCCUCCUGCCUCCCCUUCGUCCCCAGAGGACACCAAAGGGAAGCAGGCAGUGGGGGGAGCUUCUCAGCGUGUCCAGUUUCACUUCUAAACCAGCAUCCAGCCUCCUCGAGUUACCACUCUGACCACGUACAUCUGUUAGUCUUCCGGGCACUUUGGCGAGGAAGCCAUCAGGAACAGUCACACAGGCAUCAUGCUUCACGUACCCAAUUAACACGUGUUUAGCCAGCACCUACUAUGCAUCCAGGACUGGGAUCCAGAGAGAUGUGACUGUAUCUACCCACAACUUUCAGAGGUCUGGCGGGGGAAAAGCCCUCGCAGUCCCGCAGGAAGUAAUGGAGAGAGUGCUGCAGCAGGGCUGUGGAGAGCCGGGGCCGCUGAGCAGCAAGCGAAGGGGAAACUGAGGCUUGGAGAAGUUAACUAACCUCUCUCCAAGGUCAUACAAGCGGUCGGUGAGGUAACAGGACUUCAGACCCAGAUCCCUCUGAAUUCACCGCCUGGGGCCUGUCCCCGGCACCACCUGCUGUUUCCAUUUUGAGUCCAGAUAUCAUCUGUCUUUAGUGUCUACUGUCUCAACCUCUGUAAAAUGGAACCUGAUAUUGUCAUGCAGGACUGUGAUCACUAUCUCCUGUAAUGUUAGAAUUAAAACACUUAAUCAUAACUCCAAGCAUACUUUCGUAGUCACUUAUUCAUUCAUUCAAUAAAUUUAUAUCGAAUAUUCAUCUCCUUGUGCCAGACUCAAGGCCCUGAGAACACAGCAGUCAAAAAGGCAGGCACUGGGGCCAGCCCCAUGGCCUAGUAGUUGAGAUCAGUGCACUAAGUUGUGGCAGCCCAUGUUGGUUCCGGAGUGUGGACCUACAGCACCUGUUAGCGGCCAUGCUGUGGUGAUGUGCCACAAACGAAACAGAGGAAGACUGGCAGUGGAUGUUAGCUCAGGGUGAAUCUUCCUCAAGCAAGAAAAAGAGGAAGACUGGCGACAAAUAUUAGCUCAGGGUGAAUCUUCUUCAGCAAAAAAAAAAAAAAAAAAGGUAGGCAUGGUCCCUUCUCCCCAUGGAGCUUUCAGCAUAAUGGGGAGAGAAAACCAGGAAAUAAGAGAUAGAACCAACCAGUUUAUUAACAUUGCAGUAAAUGGUAUAAUAAUGACAGCUAAGACUUCAAUUACACUUACUAUGUCCCAAGAACUAUUCUAACUAUUCUAAAUAUUCCACAUAAAUUAAUUCUGACAGGCCAAAGAGGGAAGUGGAGAAAUCAAUGAAGGCUCCUGAAGGACGUGUCAGCUCCACCUGAAAACAGGAUGAGUUGGUAAUGUUGAGGAGGGCGGGGCGGGGAAGCACAGGACAGCCUAGGACUGUGUGUCCAUGUGGCCACUCGCCACCCCAGGCUGCGGAGCGAGGAAUGCUCAUCUGAACUGAGGUGCCCUAGGAGUAAAUGCGACCGGCUUUCAGACUCGCACUGAAAAGAACGUAAAACACCUCAUCAAUGUUUUGUAUUGAUUGCAUGUUGACCUGAUGAUAUUUUGGAUAUAUUGGGUUAAAUCAAAUGUAUUAUUAAAAUCAAUUUUACCUGUUUCUUUUUACUUUUUAAAAUGUGGCCACUAGACAAUGUUGAAUCGUGUGUGUAGCUCACGUUGUACUUUGAAAGGACGGUGCUGUCCUAGAAGGGCUGGGAGCCUCAGGGAGCAGGCACAUCAGAGCCGCUGUGGGGCACGAGGGGAGGAGAGAAAGAGGAUGCCGAAGGCUGGUAUGAACCUCCAACCUCUAUUCUGCGGAUCACACAGAGUGAUUUUAACCUCUGUGAACCCCAAAUCUGAGAUGCUGGGGCGCACUGACUUACUGGAAAUUGACUCUUCCUCCAAACCAGCUCUAGCUGUGAGCCAGGGAACGGUUAAUGCUCUUCGUGAGUCCCAUAUUGUAGAUGGAAGAGGCCAGAAAAAGCAGGGCAGCGACCUGGCCACAUGGCCGAGUGGUUAAGUUCGCAUGCUCUGCUUCGGCAGCCCAGGGUUUCGCGGGUUCAGAUCCUGGGUGCAGACAUGGCACCGCUCAUCAGGCCAUGCUGAGGGGGCGUCCCACACAGCAGAGCCAGGAGGACCUACAACUAGAAUAUACCACCAUGUACUGGGGGGCUCUGGGGAGAAAAAGAAGAAAAAAGAAGAUUGGCAACAGAUGUUAGCUCAGGGCCAAUCUUUAAGAAAAAGAAAAAAGAAGCAUCGGGGCAAAAACGUAAAGAAAUAGAGGAACAUCUUAGGGUAAAAAUCAAGCCCCUAACAGUGGCCCCCCAGUCCUGUACAUGGCUCCUGCCUGCCUGCUUCCCUCUCUGAUAUCUCUUACCUGGCUCCUCCCUUACCCCAUCUCUACUCCAGUUACGGUAACCUCUUUCCUGAGGCUUGAACAUACCAGACAUGCUCCUGCCUCAAGACCUUUACACUGGCUAUUCCCCUUGCCUGAAACAUUCUUCCUCCAGCUAUCACAUGGCCAACUACCUUAACUUGUGGUUCAAAUGUCACCCUCCAAUACGGCCUACCUUAACCAUCUUAUUUAAAAUUGCAACCCCCAUUGGUACUCUCUUACCUGACUCUUGUUUUUCUCCAUAGCAUUUAUUACCUUCUAACAUACUCAAUAAUUUACUCUUUUAUUAUGUUUCCUGUCAAUCUCCCUACUAGAAAGCACACUCCCUAAAGACACUGAUCUCAGUUUUAUUUCCUGCAUUAGCCCCAACACCCAGACAGUGCCUGGCACAGAGUAGCCACUGCUCAGUUAGCACUUU